AAUCAACGCUGGCGGCGUGCCUCAGACAUGCAAGUCGAACGCGAAAGGCCCCUUCGGGGCCGGAGUAGAGUGGCGCACGGGUGAGUAACACGUAGGUAAUCUACCUUUGGGUGGGGAAGUAACUCAGGGAAACUUGAGCUAAUACCGCGUAAUGCAGCGGCUCGACAUCGAGACAGUUGUUAAAGCGGGGGCGUCUCGCAAGAGACCUCGCGCCUGAAGAGGAGCCUGCGGCAGAUUAGCUAGUUGGUGAGGUAAUGGCUCACCAAGGCGACGAUCUGUAACCGGCCUGAGAGGGCGGUCGGUCACACUGACACUGACAUACGGGU
rnacentral:rRNA from 1 species